CAAAAGUGUUCUACUUGGAACCAAAAAAGGUGUACGAAUUCUGUGGAGGCAGCGUGAUACAAGGACUAUACAUUUCCUGUCUCCUAUCAGCCGGAUUUACUCCGAAAAGGGCAUCAAUGACCAUUGGACCAUAUACUUCUCCACAAUAUUGCAGGCACUAAAGGUGGACUUUUAACAAGUGCAGUGACAAUGCAGUAGCCGUGACGACGAGGACCCUGUGGAGCAGCAGGGGAGGGGGCGUGUCCAGGAGGACACUCGCCGUCGCCAGGAGCAACUUUCGCCUCAACCCCUCCCGCCGACUCCCCACAGGCCCCUCCCACUCAACAGGCCACACCCUCGGCCGCAGCAGAACGCCAUG
rnacentral:lncRNA from 1 species